CUAGUAUAAGCAUUAUACAGCGAAACUGCGAAUGGCUCAUUAUAUAAGUUAUCGUUUAUUUGAUAGUACCUUACUACUUGGAUAACCGUGGUAAUUCUAGAGCUAAUACAUGCUAAAAAUCCCGACUUCGGAAGGGAUGUAUUUAUUAGAUUAAAAACCAAUGCCCUCUGGGCUCUCUGGUGAUUCAUGAUAACUUCUCGAAUCGCAUGGCCUUGCGCCGGCGAUGGUUCAUUCAAAUUUCUUCCCUAUCAACUUUCGAUGUUUGGGUAUUGGCCAAACAUGGUCGCAACGGGUAACGGAGGGUUAGGGCUCGACCCCGGAGAAGGAGCCUGAGAAACGGCUACUACAUCCAAGGAAGGCAGCAGGCGCGCAAAUUACCCAAUCCCGACACGGGGAGGUAGUGACAAUAAAUACUGAUACAGGGCUCUUUCGGGUCUUGUAAUUGGAAUGAGUACAAUUUAAAUCCCUUAACGAGGAACAAUUGGAGGGCAAGUCUGGUGCCAGCAGCCGCGGUAAUUCCAGCUCCAAUAGCGUAUAUUAAAGUUGUUGUGGUUAAAAAGCUCGUAGUUGAACCUUGGGCCUGGCUGGCCGGUCCGCCUCACCGCGUGUACUGGUCCGGCCGGGCCUUUCCCUCUGUGGAACCUCAUGCCCUUCACUGGGCGUGACGGGGAAACAGGACUUUUACUGUGAAAAAAUUAGAGUGCUCCAGGCAGGCCUAUGCUCGAAUACAUUAGCAUGGAAUAAUGAAAUAGGACGUGCGGUUCUAUUUUGUUGGUUUCUAGGACCGCCGUAAUGAUUAAUAGGGACAGUCGGGGGCAUCAGUAUUCAAUUGUCAGAGGUGAAAUUCUUGGAUUUAUUGAAGACUAACUACUGCGAAAGCAUUUGCCAAGGAUGUUUUCAUUAAUCAGGAACGAAAGUUAGGGGAUCGAAGACGAUCAGAUACCGUCGUAGUCUUAACCAUAAACUAUGCCGACUAGGGAUCGGACGAUGUAAAUAAUUGACUCGUUCGGCACCUUACGAGAAAUCAAAG
rnacentral:rRNA from 1 species